GUGGCCUUCUUGUCCCAACCUCAGGCCUCCACAUGUGACUUCUGCACCUCAUCUCUGGGAUGGUUUCAGUGGGUCCUAGAUUGCUUUCUGUGCUCCCUGGGACAGUUGGUGGCACUCUGUGAGACUACUCUGAGCAUGACUAUAGGACAGAGAGGAGACUGAGAAACACAAGAAGCACCAGAGUGGUUGAAAGGAGCUGAAGGUUCAGACAGCAACCUGGACACUAAGGGUCCAAAGCCAAGCCCAAGGUCAAGUAGCUGGACAGAGAAACAGCUGCAAGCACAGACUUGGAUCCUGACCUGAUUUUCUGCAGAAGCAAGUCCCUGUUUAGCCUUCUACUGCCUCCUUUUAGAAUGAAGCCAGACCAGUCCUUUCCAUCAUGGGCUCCUGUGGAAAAUGACCCCAGCUCAGCUCAGUAGUUGAUGGGACAUCUGAUUCAGGUUGGACCCAGCCCAGACAUCUGAUUCAAACAAUAUUCUUCUCCAGGAAUUUUGUAACCAGCACUGGUAAAGGGAGGGAAGUGCUCCCCAGUGGGGAGAGCUGCAGAAUGUGAGACUUGGAAACCAAAGGCCGCCAUGUUUUCUGUCUCAUGAUGGAAUCCAAUCUUCUUUGGCGGGGAAAAUAAAUGAAGCCAACACCAGUAGGUAUAAGAGAGAUA
ensembl:lncRNA novel transcript